UCAACCACUUUUACAUUGGGAAACCAUUUGAUAACCAACUCCUUCAGAGAGGGAAGCAGCCCAAGUUGCGGCAAGGUUGUGCACUUGAAGCAAUUUUCCAACUUUAGUCUCACCAAAUUGCUAAAUAAAGGAUCCCCUACCCACGAUGGAAAUUGAAUACCACCAUAACGAAUUAUGGUGAGCUUUUUCAGAUUUCCAUGAGGUAUCAUCUUCUCAAUUACUUCCCUAUCGCAAUUUUCGUUUGGGAUAUUUUGAAAUUUCAAUAUACGGGGAAAAUCAACAAAUCCCCAAUUCAUCACCAGAUUGUCUAUUCUCUCCUUGUCUGAUAGAAUGGCUCCUCUUAAAUCUGAAUCAUUAGCCACAUUUUCCAACCCUGAAAUGCAGAGGGUCCCUUCAAGAAAUUUUAAAUUCGUCAAAGCUGUUAUACCGACUUCAUUACCCUCCCCCACAACAAAAUCAGACAAUGUCCGA
rnacentral:misc_RNA from 1 species